UAGGCUACUUGGCUAUGCAUUCAUGUUAGGAUGUGUUGCAGAAUAAACUAUGAAGAUGCUGUAGUCUGGCAGCAGUUAUCUACAGUGGAAUAGCCGUUUUUAAACGCCAACUGCUAAAAAGAUAUAUUUGAAUUUGUUAAAAUACAUGACCUAUCGGACUCUCGGACUUCGAAAGAGGACACAUUGUUAGAAUGAGCAUGCCUGGAAUCUCACUCAUUAGAACUGCAGAAUUGUUUGAUAUUUCGACAUGUACAGUCUCGAAAAUCAUGUUGGUAUUCCAAAACCAAAGCAAAAUUCUUCUGACAAGAAUAAUUCUGGAUCGAAAGCAGAAAAAAAAAGACAAAAAAAACACACACACACACACAGAUCGCAGUAUGCUGACACGUAUUUUAUCUGAAACCGAUGAAACUACGACAGUAAAAACGACAGCAAAGCUAAACCAUCUUCUUGCUAAAAAUCUUUCAACCAAAACCAUUCAUCUUGUGCGCCAUAAAGCAGGAUACCAUGAGACGGCUGCAAUGCUAAAUAUUUAUAAGUGGACGAAAUAUAUUUAGACUAUUGGAGGAGGUCAAUGACACAAUUCGACGAUGUAAUUUUCUCUCAUUAUUCGAAACUCCUACUGUCUCCAAGACUGCAAUGUCCUCCUGGCAACGUCCUUCAGGUGUUUUUGAGAAUUGUUUAGACGAAGAGAAUAUGCUGUUACCAUAAACCGUUUCCGUGAAAACCGUGUCUGCUGGAAGAAAAAAAAAAUGGAAGAGGUUAACCUGCCACCGAUUCAUCGACCAGAAUGCUCACAACACAGUCGAUUCCACAAAAGCAUUUACGAGUCAAUGGUAACAGUAAUCCGGACAAUGUUUCUUAUUGUCUUACACACCCACCAUGUCUUUCGUUGUCUUUUUUUUCACAUUUCGUUGUUUUUUUCUUUAAUUGCUUAAUAUAUUCGGGAAGAUGCAUGCUCUAGUGUUUAGUGUGUUGCAUUCACAAUUGCAAGAUCGCGAUUUCGAUCCUAGUAAUGGCUGAGCCUUGAGUUUCGUCUAUAUAUUUUUUCUCUUUGUUGCGUUUCUUUUUUGUGUUCUUCAUUUCACGUUGCUCCAUUUCACCUUGCGACGGACGGGCGUUCCCUUUAGAAGAUAUUUUUGCCUGCCUUCCUAGCCACAAGGCAUCAUUCGAAAGACAGUACAAUACCAGGAAGUGCAAUGUGACAAGUGGCGUAUAACAGCAUUUGAAAUUUGGUCCAUACGCUUAUUUAACUUAACCUUAAUUGUUCUCAUCAGCUGUGCCACAAACACGCUUUGCUAAAUAACGACCAACACAUUUUGGGUGGAAGUAAUUUGUGGCGUUUGAGGAAUCCGUGCAUUUUGCACUUAUCUCUUUGUAAAAAGAAAAUGCGUUUCCUUUCACAUCAGGUGCAAACUUUAAUUACUUUCGUUCUUGCAAUUUCUUGCAAUAGAGAGUCAUGUUGCAGUCAAGUGCCCCAUGUAAUUUUAGUGAGUGUAUCAUUUUAGCAUCUAAUUUUUUUUAUUUAUUUCAGCUAUUG